rnacentral:rRNA from 1 species
GACGAACGCUGGCGGCGUGCCUAAUACAUGCAAGUUGAGCGCUGAAGGUUGGUACUUGUACCAACUGGAUGAGCAGCGAACGGGUGAGUAACGCGUGGGGAAUCUGCCUUUGAGCGGGGGACAACAUUUGGAAACGAAUGCUAAUACCGCAUAAAAACUUUAAACACAAGUUUUAAGUUUGAAAGAUGCAAUUGCAUCACUCAAAGAUGAUCCCGCGUUGUAUUAGCUAGUUGGUGAGGUAAAGGCUCACCAAGGCGAUGAUACAUAGCCGGCCUGAGAGGGUGAUCGGCCACAUUGGGACUUAGACACGGCCCAAACUCCUACGGGAGGCAGCAGUAGGGGAACUUCGGCAAAGGACGAAAGUCUGACCGAGCAACGCCGCGUGAGUGAAGAAGGUUUUCGGAUCGGAAAACUCUGUUGGUAGAGAAGAACGUUGGUGAGAGUGGAAAGCUCAUCAAGUGACGGUAACUACCCAGAAAGGGACGGCUAACUACGUG